UCCUACGGGGCGCAGCAGUGAGGAAUAUUGGUCAAUGGGCGGGAGCCUGAACCAGCCAAGCCGCGUGAGGGAAGAAGGUACAGCGUAUCGUAAACCUCUUUUGUCAGGGAACAAAGGCGGGGACUAGUCCCCGGAUGAGGGUACCUGAAGAAAAAGCAUCGGCUAACUCCGUGCCAGCAGCCGCGGUAAUACGGAGGAUGCGAGCGUUAUCCGGAUUUAUUGGGUUUAAAGGGUGCGCAGGCGGUCUGUUAAGUCAGCGGUCAAAGCCCGGGGCUCAACCCCGGCCCGCCGUUGAAACUGGCAGU
rnacentral:rRNA from 1 species